rnacentral:rRNA from 1 species
AUGAACGCUGGCGGCUUGCCUAAUACAUGCAAGUCGAGCGAACAGACGAGGAGAUUGCUCCUCUGACGUUAGCGGCGGACGGGUGAGUAACACGUGGAUAACCUACCUAUAAGACUGGGAUAACUUCGGGAAACCGGAGCUAAUACCGGAUAAUAUAAUUAACCGCAUGGUUCAAUAGUGAAAGACGGUUUUGCUGUCAAUUAUAGAUGGGUCCGCGCCGCAUUAGCUAGUUGGUAAGGUAACGGCUUACCAAGGCAACGAUGCGUAGCCGAACUGAGAGGGUGAUCGGCCACACUGGAACUGAGACACGGUCCAGACUCCUACGGGAGGCAGCAGUAGGGAAUCUUCCGCAAUGGGCGAAAGCCUGACGGAGCAACGCCGCGUGAGUGAUGAAGGUCUUCGGAUCGUAAAACUCUGUUAUUAGGGAAGAACAAAUGUGUAAGUAACUAUGCACGUCUUGACGGUACCUAAUCAGAAAGCCACGGCUAACUACGUG